CUUACACAUGCAAGUCGAACGGUAACANGGGAGCUUGCUCCGCUGACGAGUGGCGAACGGGUGAGUACUAUAUCGGAACGUGCCUGAUAGUGGGGGACAACUAGUCGAAAGAUUAGCUAAUACCGCAUACGCCCUACGGGGGAAAGGGGGGGACUCGCAAGAGCCUCUCGCUAUCAGAGCGGCCGAUAUCUGAUUAGCUAGUUGGUGAGGUAAAGGCUCACCAAGGCUUCGAUCAGUAGCUGGUCUGAGAGGACGACCAGCCACACUGGGACUGAGACACGGCCCAGACUCCUACGGGAGGCAGCAGUGGGGAAUUUUGGACAAUGGGCGCAAGCCUGAUCCAGCAAUGCCGCGUGAGUGAAGAAGGCCUUUGGGUUGUAAAGCUUUUUUGUCAGGGAAGAAACGGCUUGGGUUAAUACCUUGGGCUAAUGACGGUACCUGAAGAAUAAGCACCGGCUAACUACGUGCCAGCAGCCGCGGUAAUACGUAGGGUGCAAGCGUUAAUCGGAAUUACUGGGCGUAAAGCGUGCGCAGGCGGUUGUGUAAGACAGAUGUGAAAUCCCCGGGCUUAACCUGGGAAUGGCAUUUGUGACUGCACGGCUAGAGUGUGUCAGAGGGGGGUAGAAUUCCACGUGUAGCAGUGAAAUGCGUAGAGAUGUGGAGGAAUACCGAUGGCGAAGGCAGCCCCCUGGGAUAACACUGACGCUCAUGCACGAAAGCGUGGGGAGCAAACAGGAUUA
rnacentral:rRNA from 1 species